rnacentral:misc_RNA from 1 species
GAAGUGCGAUAAGCAGUGCGAAUUGCAGAACAGUGAGUCAUCAGAUUUUUGAACGCAACUUGCGCCGUGUGGGUUCGCUCACCGGCACGCCUGGUCCAGUGUCUUAUUUUCUCAUCACCCAAAUCAUCAUGUGAGAGAUACCCUUCUCUUACUAAACAUGAAAGCACUCUGCACUCUGCGAGCGACUCUCGGGUCGCACUCAAUGCAGCAGUCACAUUUCUCAAAAUGUGAACUCAUUGAGAGCGGAGUCAGCGCAGUUAACGCUGCAAGUGUUUAGAAACACCAACUUUGGAAUUGUAUCUGGGCUCAGGUGGGACUACCCGCUGAACUUAA